UUGAAGGUCAUUGGCUACAUC
rnacentral:piRNA from 1 species